AUGGUCAUGACCCAGCACAUGUGUCCAAAGGCUGCACCACCGGGUUUUACAAAAAUACACGUCGACAUCGACGUCAGAAGGGGGAGGGGAGGAGCAGCAACAGCAGUUUGCAGGGACAAUACUGACGCAUACUCGGGCAGUUCUGUACUCGUGAUACGAGGAGUUGAUGAUCCACCAACACUAGAGGUGAUUGCGUGCCGGGAGGCAAUUGCACUAGCAGAAGAUCUCCACGUCCAACAUUUUAUCAUCGCAUCAGACGCAAAUAAAGUGAUUGAAUAUAUCUGCAAGGGCAGUCGAGGCAACUAUGGAGCUAUCAUUAGCAAGAUUAGACUUCAAGCAGUUUUAUUUCAAUAUAAUUUUUAUUUUCAUAGGUUGUGCUUCCAAUUUGGAUGCACAUAA
rnacentral:rRNA from 1 species